UACGAAGGGGGCUAGCGUUGCUCGGAAUUACUGGGCGUAAAGCGCACGUAGGCGGCUUUCUAAGUCGGGGGUGAAAUCCUGGAGCUCAACUCCAGAACUGCCUUCGAUACUGGAGAGCUUGAGUCCGGGAGAGGUGAGUGGAACUGCGAGUGUAGAGGUGAAAUUCGUAGAUAUUCGGAGGAACACCAGUGGCGAAGGCGGCUCACUGGUCCAUUACUGACGCUGAGGUGCGAAAGCGUGGGGAGCAAACAGG
rnacentral:rRNA from 1 species